AUUUUUUAUUUUCAAAAAGUCUAACAGAUUCAUGGCUCAUGGCUAAGAGGAUGAGGUAAAUUCACGACAAUACUGAGAGAGAUUGUAAUAUUCUUCUAUUACAUCAGAAGAUUUUUUCCACUCACCUGAUUUCUAUCACUUAGCUUCCUCAUUUCCUUUUCUGCGGGAGGCCAACAGGUGGCUAUAAUGAAGCAAAAAUGUUAAUGGCUCAAACGAUUGGGUAAGCAACUUUAAGGGGUCUUCAAGGAUGCUAUCGUCUAGCUUCUGGUAGAGCCAUUAACGAGACAAAACACACGAACCAGAGAGCAGAUGUUACACCAAAGGUAAAUUAUGACAUCACAUAUGCUACAUUUGUUGAUACAGAGUAGCAGAGAGGAGAGAUAAUGUUGUCUAUAUUCAGCUCUAGGAUGGAGGGAUUUGACGAGCGAGAAAAGGCACUUCCACCACUGUACCCUCAACAUCAUCACCAAUAAUUACACUGUCUCCCUCAGAAGCAGCUUUCCUCUUAAUAUAGCCAAGACCGAGGGGCUGAGAUGCUCGUUUACCAGUUGUGAAACUCGUCACCUUGCCAACCUUUUUCCCAUUAACUGAGAUAGUGCUACCAGGUUCCACAGGCGAUGAGACACGUAUUCCCCAUAGUCUCUGCUUGAUGCCAUCGUAAGUUACAAGUCUAGCAAUGGUUUCUUGGCCCUUAUAGCACCCUUUAUUCAGAGAAACAGCAUUCCACAGAUUAGCCUCCAGAACAUUAAACUCGUCUGUGAGCUCUUUACCAGGAGCUGGUCUUCCUUGAAGAAUCCUUAAAGUUUCCCAUGCAUUAGAACCCAUUGGGACAGCACCAUGACCUAGAAUAGCUUUCCAGACCGAUUCAGCAGCAGCUGGAGACAUCAGUAGUAAAUAACCUUCUUCAGAGAUGAUAUUUCCCACUCCCACAGUUAUUGGCAUUCCAUUUACAUUGUAAUGCUUAUGCGAUCCAUAUGGUUGUCCAACUAUGUCAGCAAGACUCAGAGCCUCCAUUAUUUUGUUACUUGUAGGCCCUACUAGUAAGAACAAGGACGUUUUCUCGGUAAUAUCUUGAAUUUCAACUUUGUCUGCAAAGAAUAUGUACUUCUCAAGCAUAUGAGUUAUUCUUUCCCUGGUCACUGGAGAGACCACUAAUGUGAUUGCCGUUUUCAUAACCCAGGCAUGGGCAAUAUCGAUGGUUCUAGCAGUUGGUGUCACAAAAACAGUGUCACAUCCCUGCCCCUCAUGAAGAAUUUCAAAGUUAGCAGUACUUUGGUUGUGAAGAAACUGAACCCUGUCUUCUCCACUAACUCUUAUCCUGCCAUAGUGUGAAAGAUCCACAACCGCAACACCAUUCUCAACAGCAUCUAAUGCCUCCUCGUCAUUAUCGAAUGUCCCUAUUACCCCAUCUUCUGAUACCUUUGCCCCAGCAAUUGUCAUAGUAUCGAGGAGGUCGUGGUCGAUGGGAGGAGGAGAAAGAUCGAAUGGCAGCGCAGCAGAAGAAAAAGAAGAAGAAAGGCGUCGAUUAAUCUUCGCCGGCGACACAUCGUAUGGCCGGUAAGGUAGUGGCAUAAGUAGGGAUGAUGAAGAAGAAAAAGGAAGAGAGGGAAAUAACAAAUUUGCAGAGUAGAGAGACG
rnacentral:misc_RNA from 1 species